UCAGCAUGACGUGAACACGUGUCAGUAAAGUCGUCGUGAUUGGGAGAAAUGCUGGAUCCAGAAAUGCCGUCCGACGAUUCCAUGAUCCAUUCGUGUGGUGUUCACGCUCGAUGUCACUGCUAAAUCAUAUUUCGGAAACACCGCCUGCAUUUGUGACUAACAAGAUAACCGAAAGAGAUGCCCCGAGGCAAAUAUAGAAAUAUUUUUCGAAAACAGUUAACGGAAAUCCGAAAUUCCUGCCGACCGAAAAAGCAUCCAGAAAGGUCCCAAGAAAUUCGAUCCUCGCGGCGAAAUGCAAUUCCGACCGAUGGGAGUCGUUACGAAGUAUAUCAUACACUAUUACAAAUUCUUUGCGAGAUACUAUAGAAACAAAAUGGACGGUCGAGGAUUUCGGUCCAGGAAUUCGUUCGCGGAAGAUUCACCAAAACGUGACUACACGGCGGCUCUCUAAUUUAACUUCGAACUUCAUUGCUGCACUAAUUUGAGGCAUUCCUCGAGCUGGAAAUCGCAGGAAAAACUGCCGUAACGCGAUGGUGGACAAAUGAAGAAGAAGAAAUUCGAGUAAGAACCGGAUCAGCAGCGAGAAUCGAACAUCCGAACGAUCGUUUCGAGUCCUCAGGCUUUCGUCAACGAGCAAGAGCGACGAGAAUCGAUCGGGAAU